rnacentral:rRNA from 1 species
GAUGAACGCUGGCGGCGUGCUUAACACAUGCAAGUCGAACGGUGAAGGCGGAGCUUGCUCUGCUGGAUCAGUGGCGAACGGGUGAGUAACACGUGAGCAAUCUGCCCCUGACUCUGGGAUAAGCGCUGGAAACGGCGUCUAAUACUGGAUACGAGCUGCGAAGGCAUCUUCAGCAGCUGGAAAGAAUUUCGGUCAGGGAUGAGCUCGCGGCCUAUCAGCUUGUUGGUGAGGUAAUGGCUCACCAAGGCGUCGACGGGUAGCCGGCCUGAGAGGGUGACCGGCCCCACUGGGACUGAGACACGGCCCAGCCUCCUACGGGAGGCAGCAGUGGGGAAUAUUGCACAAUGGGCGAAAGCCUGAUGCAGCAACGCCGCGUGAGGGACGACGGCCUUCGGGUUGUAAACCUCUUUUAGCAGGGAAGAAGCGAAAGUGACGGUACCUGCAGAAAAAGCGCCGGCUAACUACGUG